UUCAAUACUUCUGUACAUUGACACAUCAUUAUGUUAACAUAAUGGUUAACGUAAUGAAGCUAACACUGAAUGAAGGGUGACACAUGCUAUAGUAAAAACGGCAUUAGAAUAACUGUAUAUAUGCACAUCGCCAAGCAAUGGUGCAAAGGGGUCGGAAGUUUCACAACGACCACUCAUGGAUAAGCACCAAUCAAUGGAUGAAGGUACUUUUGUGUAUCAACAUAAGUCGUGAUAUGACUGCAAGUUAUUCCCAGCAGGUUUUCCAAGGUGCAAGCAAGCUAUUGGAGGGAUGGUUGGAGUGUAUAGUUCCCCAAAAGCCUGCCAGCAGAAAGGGUCGUUUAGGCGGUAGUGAGGUAUUUGGACUGGUCUGAGUUGUACUCCAGUAAGAGUGAUUCCUGAACAAGGUUCUUUUGUCACAGUAAAACUGGUCUAUGAUAAUUGGUGUUUGGACUUCUGAGACUUGGAUGUUUGAGAACCUUACAUCUUGAACCAAGCCUAAGCCACCCUGCAAGGAGAAUUUUAUUUGUUUAACUCAGUGUAUUCCGUCAGUGUUGAGGCUGUUCUCUGGGGAGGAUAUUGUUAGGUCAUGGACCAUUACUCCUUGACAGCUGUCAAACUUAAGGUGGCACUGUGAACUGUUGACAAUAGUGAUACCAGAUACUACCACGUUGAAACUACCAUAGAAUCUCAAUGCCUGCAUCAGAGUUUAACUUGUGGCAUCCUUUCAAACUCCACAUCAUACUGCUGGAAGUAGCCAAGAAUUUUAUGGGAAUGAUCAGCAUGGAGCCUACCUGACGUAUUGAAGGGGAAAUUCCGGACUUGGAGGAAAAAAGUACAUGAUAUUUGACAAUUUUACGUAGAAGGUGCAUUCGGGCUUGGACUUGGGCUUGGGCUCUGGUACCCUUUGCCGGCACCAGGGCUCGGUGGUGCGCUGACUGGCGGCUUCAGACUUGGCC